rnacentral:rRNA from 1 species
CGCAAGUUGCGCCCGAAGCCAUUAGGUCGAGGGCACGUCUGCCUGGGCGUCACGCAUCGGGUCGCCCCCUCCCACCCCUUCGCGAAAGCGGGUGGAUCCGAGGGGACGGACAUUGGCCUCCCGUGCUCUUCUUGUGCGGCCGGCUUAAAUUUGAG